GAUGAACGCUGGCGGCGUGCCUAAUACAUGCAAGUCGAGCGAACGGACGAGAAGCUUGCUUCUCUGAUGUUAGCGGCGGACGGGUGAGUAACACGUGGAUAACCUACCUAUAAGACUGGGAUAACUUCGGGAAACCGGAGCUAAUACCGGAUGAUAUUUUGAACCGCAUGGUUCAAAAGUGAAAGACGGUCUUGCUGUCACUUAUAGAUGGAUCCGCGCUGCAUUAGCUAGUUGGUAAGGUAACGGCUUACCAAGGCAACGAUGCAUAGCCGACCUGAGAGGGUGAUCGGCCACACUGGAACUGAGACACGGUCCAGACUCCUACGGGAGGCAGCAGUAGGGAAUCUUCCGCAAAGGGCGAAAGCCUGACGGAGCAACGCCGCGUGAGUGAUGAAGGUCUUCGGAUCGUAAAACUCUGUUAUUAGGGAAGAACAUAUGUGUAAGUAACUGUGCACAUCUUGACGGUACCUAAUCAAAAAGCCACGGCUAACUACGUG
rnacentral:rRNA from 1 species